UACGAAGGGUGCAAGCGUUACUCGGAAUUACUGGGCGUAAAGCGUGCGCAGGCGGUAAGUUAAGUCUGAUGUGAAAGCCCCGGGCUCAACCUGGGAAUGGCAUUGGAAACUGGCUUGCUAGAGUGUGGCAGAGGGGGGUGGAAUUCCGCGUGUAGCAGUGAAAUGCGUAGAGAUGCGGAGGAACACCGAUGGCGAAGGCAGCCCCCUGGGCCGACACUGACGCUCAGGCACGAAAGCGUGGGGAGCAAACAGG
rnacentral:rRNA from 1 species